AGAGACAGCAGUAGCCACGGUAAUACGUAGGUGGCAAGCGUUGUCCGGAAUUAUUGGGCGUAAAGGGCUCGCAGGCGGUUUCUUAAGUCUGAUGUGAAAGCCCCCGGCUCAACCGGGGAGGGUCAUUGGAAACUGGGAAACUUGAGUGCAGAAGAGGAGAGUGGAAUUCCACGUGUAGCGGUGAAAUGCGUAGAGAUGCGGAGGAACACCAGUGGCGAAGGCGACUCUCUGGUCUGUAACUGACGCUGAGGAGCGAAAGCGUGGGGAGCGAACAGGAUUAGAUACCCCUGUAGUCCCUGUCUCUUAUAC
rnacentral:rRNA from 1 species